rnacentral:rRNA from 2 species
CACGCCGCGUGAGUGAUGAAGGUUUUCGGAUCGUAAAGCUCUGUUGUUAGGGAAGAACAAGUGCCGUUCAAAUAGGGCGGCACCUUGACGGUACCUAACCAGAAAGCCACGGCUAACUACGUGCCAGCAGCCGCGGUAAUACGUAGGUGGCAAGCGUUGUCCGGAAUUAUUGGGCGUAAAGGGCUCGCAGGCGGUUUCUUAAGUCUGAUGUGAAAGCCCCCGGCUCAACCGGGGAGGGUCAUUGGAAACUGGGGAACUUGAGUGCAGAAGAGGAGAGUGGAAUUCCACGUGUAGCGGUGAAAUGCGUAGAGAUGUGGAGGAACACCAGUGGCGAAGGCGACUCUCUGGUCUGUAACUGACGCUGAGGAGCGAAAGCGUGGGGAGCGAACAGGAUUAGAUACCCUGGUAGUCCACGCCGUAAACGAUGAGUGCUAAGUGUUAGGGGGUUUCCGCCCCUUAGUGCUGCAGCUAACGCAUUAAGCACUCCGCCUGGGGAGUACGGUCGCAAGACUGAAACUCAAAGGAAUUGACGGGGGCCCGCACAAGCGGUGGAGCAUGUGGUUUAAUUCGAAGCAACGCGAAGAACCUUACCAGGUCUUGACAUCCUCUGACAAUCCUAGAGAUAGGACGUCCCCUUCGGGGGCAGAGUGACAGGUGGUGCAUGGUUGUCGUCAGCUCGUGUCGUGAGAUGUUGGGUUAAGUCCCGCAACGAGCGCAACCCUUGAUCUUAGUUGCCAGCAUUCAGUUGGGCACUCUAAGGUGACUGCCGGUG